CACAAGAUGGAUUGGUGGAUAAGUGGGUUGCGGGGCUAGUGUGAUCAGACGCCCUUGCAGCAAGUUAGCUAAUCAGACAGGUAGCUGGGGAUUGGCUGUAAUUUCCUAUAAAAGCCCUGUGUUUUGUGGUGCUCGGGGCUGGCUCAAAUGGUUGAUGGAGGAGCGCGCUUGUUUUAAAUGGAAAAGCGUCGCGGCAGCUAUUGAUAAAGAAGACCAUCAAGACGAAGCAGCUACUUUACAAUUGGGAUGCACUGUUGAGCGCUACGUGCUGAUUGUACGGAAAUUGUGAGAGCCGGUAAAAUGGUGUCCCUUGAGAAGGCAAGAACAAGAUUUCCGGAGAGUCCUUUAACGAUGGCCAGUGUCAAGAGGACUCGUCGUAGCUCUGUGAUUGCCCUGCAGGAUUCAACGGACCCAGAUGCCAGUAUGCUGAGUACACACGUCACUAGAUAGUGGUGUCCACAGGGUUUCUCUGAGUCAAACACCUCCAUUUAAAACAGUGGUUAAAUUCUGCCACUGUACUCAACAUGUCUGUACUGUGUGUGUAGUUUGAUGACAGCAAUCUCAGUGCUUAAGACCUUGCUGCCACGUCAUCAAAGUUUCUUGUAAUUGUGACACUCCCUGGAACUUGAAUUAUCAUGGUUUGAUGAGUAAACUCCCUUGUCAGUUGACGGGGGCCGUCAUCAAUUCUGCAGACAGCCAACAAUGUUAUCAAUGGGAAUGGUGGCGAUAAGGAAGUUUGGACUGCUGACGGAACAACAAAGUGCUGCUCCAGUUUUUCUGUCCCUAAACCGAGUUCAGAGAAUGGAUACCGGAAUACUGGGAUUGUUAGAACAAUGGGAGAGGUUCUGAUGGUGAUGGCUCCGGUUGUUCUAGUUCCAUUUAUUUGGGUGCCAAAAUAAAUCAUUCUAACCUUUAACAGCCACAUUUCCAUGUCCUUGCUUUUCUAGCUCAGACUGUGGGUCUUUUUUUGUAGAUUUGCACGCUUAUCACUGUUAGCUGGGCCAUUGAUCCCUGUUGGGAUGGUCAUAGUUGAUCAUUUCCAAAUGUUUGACUUUUUCACUUUGUCACUUAGUCAUGCAUUGAUGUCCAUGGGAGAAUAAUUUCAAAUAUGAGACUUAGAGCCAGUGAACGAGGGACAGGCUGUUUAAUAUAAGUGUGAUCUCACAGCUGUAAAGAAAAUCCAGAUUUUUUUUUUCUUAUUCAGACAACUUCCUAACAUGCUGGAUUAAUAAAGUUGAAACAGAUUCAUUAUUUGUCAGACACACACGCAUGCGUGCACACACACUAUCCCGUUUAAAUGGAGCAUCACUCAAACCAUUGAUUAAGCCAUAUCACACAUUCCAUGUUGUUCAUCAUUUCCACACCGGGGAGUUGUACAGCUGAGGACACUUGGAGAAAACAACAUGCCCCGAUCCCAAUAGCUCACCUCUUGACUCUUGAGAAUAAUUGACCUGACUUCUGGAACACACCUUGAGACAGCUUUCCAAGCUCUGCCUGAAGCUGUUGCUAUCACUCAGUAACUUCCCUCAGGUGUGAUGUUUGCCUAGACUUACUCUGUCAGACAAACAACUCCCUAGAUGUCUUUGCCUGGACGGGGCCCAUGAGUGGAAAUCUGUGGUGAAAGACAAGGUGUUUGGUUCUAGCACUUUUAAAUACAACGGCCAUGGACAUUUCCUCUCCCUACAAAUGCUUGUAGCUGAUUGAAACUCUCCACCAUGCUGUUUCAUGUGGCUUUAAUCCUCAUCCUAACAUCCUGUCACUCUUCACCCCCCUAGGCCAAUCACAGUUAGGUUUACUAACAGUGGGCUUCAAGUGACACCUUUCCUAGUAGAGUGAUGUCCCUCAGUGGAUGAAGGCUUCCUUAAGAAGUGUGUAAAUCUACAUGGCCAAAGCAACACCUUUCUUGCAAUGUAUUUAGCAUGCUAGGCCAAUGCUCUAAGUCUAUGGAAAGUCGAUGAAUACUAGAAUGAUAAAUGUGUUUCACCCCUGAAUAACCUUGUGACUCACAGACAACGGAGCGUGUUGUGUGCCAUUCUAUUUGUUGACGCAGCAUUGGCUAGUCAAAUAAUAGUGUUAAAGGUGAAACCUCCUAGAAUAAUACUUUAUAGAUUCUAUUACAUUGUAGGAGUACUAUAAUACCCUAAUAAAACAUGCAAAAGCGUAGUUGUCACGUUCUGACUUUAGUUCCUUUGUUUUUGUCUUCGUUUUAGCAUGGUCAGGGCGUGAGUUGGGGUGGGCAGUCUGUUUGUUUUUCUAUGUUGGUUUUUGUGUUCGGCCUAGUAUGGUUCUCAAUCACAGGCAGCUGUCAAUUGUUGUCCCUGAUUGAGAAUCAUACUUAGGUAGCCUGGGUUUCACUUUUGAUUUGUGGGUGUUUGUUUUCCUGUGUGAGUGUUUGGUCCACACGGUACUGUUUCGGUUUUCGUUCGUUCACUUUAUUGUUUUGUAUUUCAGUGUUCAGUUUGUUUUAUUAAAAAAGACAUGAACCCUUACCACGCUGCACCUUGGUCCUCCUCUCUAUCUCCAGACGACAUCCGUUACAGUAGUCUUUAAUACGAUUGCAAUAAUUAACAUUGGUUUCUAUCACUUCGUCACGUGUAUGCCUGUGUAUUCACUCAAAUUUCAAGCCAUACCACUUAUCCUAAAUAUACAGUACAUAAUGGGACUCACAGUACAGUAAGUGC
rnacentral:lncRNA from 13 species